CCUACGGGAGGCAGCAGUGGGGAAUAUUGGACAAUGGGGGGAACCCUGAUCCAGCCAUGCCGCGUGUGUGAAGAAGGCCCUCGGGUUGUAAAGCACUUUCAGUGAGGAAGAACGCCUGGUGGUUAAUACCCAUCAGGAAAGACAUCACUCACAGAAGAAGCACCGGCUAACUCCGUGCCAGCAGCCGCGGUAAUACGGAGGGUGCGAGCGUUAAUCGGAAUUACUGGGCGUAAAGCGCGCGUAGGUGGCUUGAUAAGCCGGUUGUGAAAGCCCCGGGCUCAACCUGGGAACGGCAUCCGGAACUGUCCAGCUAGAGUGCAGGAGAGGAAGGUAGAAUUCCCGGUGUAGCGGUGAAAUGCGUAGAGAUCGGGAGGAAUACCAGUGGCGAAGGCGGCCUUCUGGACUGACACUGACACUGAGGUGCGAAAGCGUGGGUAGCAAACAGGAUUAGAUACCCGAGUAGUC
rnacentral:rRNA from 1 species